rnacentral:rRNA from 1 species
UAGCUAGUUGGUGGGGUAAGGGCCUACCAAGGCGACGAUCGGUAGCUGGUCUGAGAGGAUGACCAGCCACACUGGAACUGAGACACGGUCCAGACUCCUACGGGAGGCAGCAGUGGGGAAUAUUGGACAAUGGGGGGAACCCUGAUCCAGCAAUGCCGCGUGUGUGAAGAAGGCCUGAGGGUUGUAAAGCACUUUCAGUGGGGAGGAGGGUUGAUAGGUUAAGAGCUAAUUAACUGGACGUUACCCACAGAAGAAGCACCGGCUAACUCCGUGCCAGCAGCCGCGGUAAUACGGAGGGUGCGAGCGUUAAUCGGAAUUACUGGGCGUAAAGCGUGCGUAGGUGGUUGAUUAAGUUAUCUGUGAAAUCCCUGGGCUUAACCUGGGCAGGUCAGAUGAUACUGGUUGACUCGAGUAUGGGAGAGGGUAGUGGAAUUUCCGGUGUAGCGGUGAAAUGCGUAGAGAUCGGAAGGAACACCAGUGGCGAAGGCGGCUACCUGGCCUAAUACUGACACUGAGGCACGAAAGCGCGGGGAGCAAACAGGAUUAGAUACCCUGGUAGUCCACGCUGUAAACGAUGUCAACUAGCUGUUGGUUAUAUGAAAAUAAUUAGUGGCGC